rnacentral:tRNA from 1 species
GCUUCUGUGGCUCAGUUGGUAGAGCAAUUGAUUCGUAAUCAAUAGGUCGUCGGUUCGAGUCCGAUCAGAAGCU